rnacentral:rRNA from 2 species
UUAGACAUGACGUUAGGCUAGAUCACCUGCUGAAUUUAAGCAUAUAAGUAAGCGGAGGACAAGAAACUAAACAGGAUCCCCAUAGUAAUGGCGAAUGAACCGGGAUAAACUCAGCAUGGAAAUUGGGGCCUUUGGCUUUGACUUGUAAUCUGGUGAGGCAUUGCCAACAGAGGCGCAUAUGUAAGUCUCUUGGAAAAGAGCAUCAACGAAGGUGAGAGUCCUGAUUGUCAUGUGCAGCCCCCCUGUGCACGGUGUGCCUUCUAAGAGUCACGUUCCUUGGGAUUGGAGCGCAAAUUGGGUGGUAACUUUCAUCUGAAGUUAAACAAUGGUUU